rnacentral:lncRNA from 1 species
AUGACAUCAAUACAUUUGGCAAAGCAGUUUUUAUUUCCAUCAGUACUAGUAAUAUUACAUAUUUAUAAAAUACUAAAUCAAUAUUGUAAAGAGAAAACAUUGUGCAGCUCAAGGCAAAAUGAGACCACAUUUUUUUUCUAUUGCAGCUGGUCUACUGCAGCUCUCCCCCGGAAAAGGACUGAGCAUAAUUUUGUAAGUAUCAAGUUUCUUUUAGGAAAUGGAAUAAUGGUGGAAAUUCAAAUGUCAUCAGAGUAUCUCAGCAAAAUUAAAUGCCUCAAGACUCUCUGAAGCAAUUUGGUUGCCUAUUAUCAUUUUCAAAAUGAUAGGGAAAAAAAUCACACUUCUUUAACCAACUCAAGUGAUGCUAAGAAAAGAAGAAGUUAGGCAUGUGUAUGCUUGUGUAUAUAAUCAUAUUAUUUUAAAAUUCUUUCAUCAGAAAUAUGUAAAGUUGGAACAGGGGAUCAAAAUAAGCCAACAAAACAAAAAUAUAGGUGAAUAUGUUUGCUAAUAUACUCACGUUUGUAAGAAUAAUAGAUUUCCUUUUUGUUCUUUAAGAGAAUCAAAGAAAACUAAUUUACUCAAUUAAUUUAAUUAUCACAUUUAUGAGUCAGUAUUUUGAAAGCUCAUAGUUUUUCUCAUGCUUGUUCAAAAGCCAAGAUAUGAAAGGAACACUAGUUGGACAUUAAGCGGAAUUAAUGAAUUGCAGUCACUCUGAUGGCACGGGAGGAUUUGGCUGUAAAUAUCAGGUAGUUUGUUGGACUGAAGGAAUGAUAAUUUUCAGACCUAAUUCCUAAAACCUAAUUCCUUUGCAUGCUGUAGUAAUCUCUUGCCAGUCGCUUUUAAUAUAGUUUUAAUGCCACCCUAUAUACUCCAAAAAUAUGCUCAAUUUCUCUAACAAGAUCAUGGAAUGUACUGGUGAGGUAUUUUCCAUUUUGAUUUUUAACAUGACGAAGCCUUCAACCUUUAAUGAGGUUUUACUGAGUUACCCCUAGAUGGCAGUCUACAAGGAUGGAACUAAAACUAAAUUCACCGUGAGUAAAAUCUUCCUGCAACUUGGCUUUUUUUUUUUUUUCCUUUUGCGUUUUGCUUAUCAAUUAAUCCAAAAUGUUGCAAAAUGAGGAUGAACUUAUAAUUUCCUUCUUUGGCAGCGGCAACAGGUAAAACAGGGAGAAACAGUAUUCCCAGUGCUUUGCAUACCAGAUUGGCUUGGAAAGUCCUGUUUCCAAUGUCAUGAAUAAUCUUUGCUCAUCAUCACAUGAUGGCUGAUCACUCCUGUUCUUUUUCCUUU